rnacentral:rRNA from 1 species
UGGGGAAUAUUGGACAAUGGGCGAAAGCCUGAUCCAGCCAUGCCGCGUGAGUGAAGAAGGCCUUAGGGUUGUAAAGCUCUUUCGGCGGGGAAGAUAAUGACGGUACCCGCAGAAGAAGCCCCGGCUAACUCCGUGCCAGCAGCCGCGGUAAUACGGAGGGGGCUAGCGUUGUUCGGAUUUACUGGGCGUAAAGCGCGCGUAGGCGGGCUGUUAAGUCGGGGGUGAAAUCCUGGGGCUCAACCUCAGAAUUGCCUUCGAUACUGGCAGCCUUGAGUGCGAGAGAGGUGAGUGGAAUUCCCAGUGUAGAGGUGAAAUUCGUAGAUAUUGGGAAGAACACCAGUGGCGAAGGCGGCUCACUGGCUCGGUACUGACGCUGAGGUGCGAAAGCGUGGGGAGCAA